GCGGCUCUUCCAUCCAUCUGAUGCGGCUCUCUGUGCUUGUAAAAUAAUGAAUGGAUAUUUAAAUAAAAUGCUUUAUAUUUUACUGAAUUAAUUUUAUAUCUGUAAGUCAAUUCUAUGUGAAGAUUGUCUGCGUAAACCUGAACAGGUCCAACCCGGUCUUACUGUGAGACCGUGUUGGGUCACGCUUGUGCGUAAUCAUAUACGCUUAUAUGAGCUGAAGAGGAUGUGCGAUUCUGGGCUUCUCCUCAGAUGGCUCCUGGAUGUGUCGCACAUUGGAGACAGGAACUAGAGCAAGCGAUCUACCCCACAGGACUUCCCUGUGCUCUUUUUGUUCUCCUUAUAAUAAAGACUUUUACUUUAACCAGUUCCACGAGUCAGUUUCUGCAUGUCUCGGGUUAAACACAUACCUCGAGCAAUGACAACCCUGUCAAAUUGAAAUACCUGGUAUAAAUAUUGUUUUUGUAUUUAUUUUUAAACAGAAUCAUAGAAACACAUUUCUUGAGUGUCCCCUCCAUCCUAUUCCACAGCCUUGCUCCACCUACCGAAAUAACAAAGGUUUUACUUUUUGUACAUGGAAAAGGAAUUCUGAAAUGAAAUUGUUCCCAUAAUUUAUAACCCCCUUCCUUCUCUAUGAAUCAUUUUUGGAUGUUUUCUGGUAAUAGUUUGUUUCUUGCUAGAAAUAAUAUUUGUGCUGUCUGUAAUUCUACAAUGUCUCUAAAUUUUAAGAGUGUUGACUGUAUAAAUAAUUUAUUAGUGUGAUCCCUAUAUCCUACCUUUUGAAUGAUUCAAAUCUAUUAUUUGUGAAUUGGUGCUUGUUCCCAGUUAAGGCAGGAGAUAGGUGUAGGAGACUAUUUUCAUGUUCAGCCUGCAUGUAUAUAAUUAGAAAUACUGAUUAUAAUUCUAAAAUGAGUAAAAACAGCUUCUCAGUGAACUUGGCCUUUAAAUAUCAAAAUCAGGCUUUUCUUAUGGAAGCAGUGACUGAAUCCAGAGAAUAGCAUCAUUGCUAUCUUCUUAAUAAACCUUAUUUGUCUUCAAAGAGAUGAAUGCA
rnacentral:lncRNA from 1 species